UUCUUUAGACUUCCAAUGGAAAAGUAGUUGGCGAUCCAUAAAUCUUCUUCUCACUAUAAAGCACCAAAGCAUCACAUUUGUGUUCAGACAAACACAAACUUCUGGGUCCAGUUCUUCUUCCUCCUCUCUGAUUCUCUCUACCUCACCUCUUCUCUAACGUUUCUCUUGAAUCACAGCAUCGAAUCAUGGCGAGAAGACCUCUAAAAGCCAGGCCGACGCUGGUGCUCAUCAGUCUUCUUCUAAUGGCAGACCUGGCAAGCGUCGGCUAUGGCCGAAGAGUUGCAGAACUGGGUGUCUCAGGGGUCCGCGACAGCGGAGGCUCGCCGCCGGCCAAAGGCUGCUGCUUGUCCAACCAGGCAUCUUCUUCAGCGUCAGGGCGACACCUUGGUGAUUGCUGCAAGCACAUGCACGUUGUGUCCAAGAGGUUGGUGCCCCAGGGGCCAAACCCUCUGCAUAACUGAAGGAGAAACCGUUCUGCACUUGCAACUUGCAACGAGAGAUAGUCAGAGUUUUUUUUUUAUGCUGCCAUACAGAGUGAUUAGUCAAGCUGUUAGUUCUUUCGUGAGGUCAUGUAAGCUAUAGGCUUAUUAGAGCUUAGUUUGCUGCAACUAGUUCAUACGGUCUCUCUCUCACUUUUGUCACUUUUGAGAGCUGCUCUUCAUCAGUCAGUCAGAGACUGAAACUUUGUAGUAAUGGAUGGUUGAGUGCAAAGCUCUUGCAGCAGAGGCCGGAAUAAAAUUCCUUUAUCUACAAAAUUCAUUUUGAUGAUGAGAAUUUUCACUGGGAUUUGUGACUCUGACAUUGUAUUUUAAUUCCCUACAUGCAUGCUUAACUGUUAUAGUCUUUUCAA
rnacentral:lncRNA from 1 species